ensembl:lncRNA novel transcript
CAGGUCCCUCUAAGCACCCAGUCAUCAGGGGCAGGCCCCCAUGGAGAGAACAGGCUUGUUUCAGGGAGGAAUUCCCAGAAGCUGGAGCUCCAGACAGAGGUGAGGGACAGUGGUCAGCGCAAGGCACACUGGACAGAGCUGACUUCAGUCCUAUCUGGAGUUUCUCCAAGAAGCUUCUUCCUAGAAGCUCAUCAUCCCUACUCACUUUGGGGUGAAAAUAGCUUUGCAAAACCUGCUCAGAUGAGUCAGCAGGCCAGACCUCCAGAGCGGUGGAUGUAGUCCACACGAAAUUGCCUUUAGUGAACUGAGCAUUGAUGUUAUACCAUUUGAUUGCAUUGAUUUGGUUUAUAAGAACCAGCACAUCCCUA